rnacentral:rRNA from 1 species
GACGAACGCUGGCGGCGUGCCUAAUACAUGCAAGUAGAACGCUGAAGGAGGAGCUUGCUUCUCUGGAUGAGUUGCGAACGGGUGAGUAACGCGUAGGUAACCUGCCUGGUAGCGGGGGAUAACUAUUGGAAACGAUAGCUAAUACCGCAUAAUAGUAGAUGUUGCAUGACAUUUGCCUAAAAGGUGCAAUUGCAUCACUACCAGAUGGACCUGCGUUGUAUUAGCUAGUUGGUGGGGUAACGGCUCACCAAGGCGACGAUACAUAGCCGACCUGAGAGGGUGAUCGGCCACACUGGGACUGAGACAAGGCCCAGACUCCUACGGGAGGCAGCAGUAGGGAAUCUUCGGCAAUGGACGGAAGUCUGACCGAGCAACGCCGCGUGAGUGAAGAAGGUUGUCGGAUCGUAAAGCUCUGUUGUAAGAGAAGAACGAGUGUGAGAGUGGAAAGUUCACACUGUGACGGUAUCUUACCAGAAAGGGACGGCUAACUACGUG